rnacentral:rRNA from 1 species
AUUGAACGCUGGCGGCAUGCCUUACACAUGCAAGUCGAACGGCAGCACGGGGGCAACCCUGGUGGCGAGUGGCGAACGGGUGAGUAAUGCAUCGGAACGUGCCCAGUAGUGGGGGAUAACCAGUCGAAAGACUGGCUAAUACCGCAUACGACCCAAGGGUGAAAGCGGGGGACCGUAAGGCCUCGCGCUAUUGGAGCGGCCGAUGUCUGAUUAGCUAGUUGGCGGGGUAAGAGCCCACCAAGGCGACGAUCAGUAGCUGGUCUGAGAGGACGACCAGCCACACUGGGACUGAGACACGGCCCAGACGCCUACGGGAGGCAGCAGUGGGGAAUUUUGGACAAUGGGCGCAAGCCUGAUCCAGCCAUGCCGCGUGCGGGAAGAAGGCCUUCGGGUUGUAAACCGCUUUUGGCAGGAACGAAACGGCGCAGGCCAAUACCUUGCGCUAAUGACGGUACCUGCAGAAUAAGCACCGGCUAACUACGUGCCAGCCGCCGCCGUAACAC